GUUAAGCGACUAAGCGUACACGGUGGAUGCCCUGGCAGUCAGAGGCGAUGAAGGACGUGCUAAUCUGCGAUAAGCGUCGGUAAGGUGAUAUGAACCGUUAUAACCGGCGAUUUCCGAAUGGGGAAACCCAGUGUGAUUCGUCACACUAUCAUUAACUGAAUCCAUAGGUUAAUGAGGCGAACCGGGGGAACUGAAACAUCUAAGUACCCCGAGGAAAAGAAAUCAACCGAGAUUCCCCCAGUAGCGGCGAGCGAACGGGGAGCAGCCCAGAGCCUGAAUCAGUGUGUGUGUUAGUGGAAGCGUCUGGAAAGGCGCGCGAUACAGGGUGACAGCCCCGUACACAAAAAUGCACAUGCUGUGAGCUCGAUGAGUAGGGCGGGACACGUGGUAUCCUGUCUGAAUAUGGGGGGACCAUCCUCCAAGGCUAAAUACUCCUGACUGACCGAUAGUGAACCAGUACCGUGAGGGAAAGGCGAAAAGAACCCCGGCGAGGGGAGUGAAAAAGAACCUGAAACCGUGUACGUACAAGCAGUGGGAGCACGCUUAGGCGUGUGACUGCGUACCUUUUGUAUAAUGGGUCAGCGACUUAUAUUCUGUAGCAAGGUUAACCGAAUAGGGGAGCCGAAGGGAAACCGAGUCUUAACUGGGCGUUAAGUUGCAGGGUAUAGACCCGAAACCCGGUGAUCUAGCCAUGGGCAGGUUGAAGGUUGGGUAACACUAACUGGAGGACCGAACCGACUAAUGUUGAA
rnacentral:rRNA from 1 species